CCCUCGCGAAGAAACAUAAACAGUAUUUGUGAAAUUUGGAUUAGAAACUAUUAUUUUAUUAGUUUAUUUUGUUGUGUUUAAGUGUUGUGUAUUUGUACCUACUGGAUAAUAUUUUCCAACAUAUUUAAUUAAGCAAAAAGCAUCUGUUUUACAGGUGUGACUGCUAAGUGGUCGUACUCGCCACUUUAACCAAGCAUUGGUGGGACCUUCAGAGAUCAUAAUGCGAAUUUCUUCAUACCAUGUAAAUCUAUAUACAUGUAUUAAUAAAUGCGUUUGCUUUA